GGGGGCAUAGCUCAGCUGGGAGAGCGCUUGCAUGGCAUGCAAGAGGUCGUCGGUUCGAUCCCGAUUGUCUCCA
rnacentral:tRNA from 1 species